rnacentral:rRNA from 1 species
AUUGAACGCUGGCGGCAGGCCUAACACAUGCAAGUCGAGCGGAUGAAGGGAGCUUGCUCCCUGAUUCAGCGGCGGACGGGUGAGUAAUGCCUAGGAAUCUGCCUGGUAGUGGGGGACAACGUCUCGAAAGGGACGCUAAUACCGCAUACGUCCUACGGGAGAAAGUGGGGGAUCUUCGGACCUCACGCUAUCAGAUGAGCCUAGGUCGGAUUAGCUAGUUGGUGAGGUAAUGGCUCACCAAGGCGACGAUCCGUAACUGGUCUGAGAGGAUGAUCAGUCACACUGGAACUGAGACACGGUCCAGACUCCUACGGGAGGCAGCAGUGGGGAAUAUUGGACAAUGGGCGAAAGCCUGAUCCAGCCAUGCCGCGUGUGUGAAGAAGGUCUUCGGAUUGUAAAGCACUUUAAGUUGGGAGGAAGGGCAGUAAAUUAAUACUUUGCUGUUUUGACGUUACCGACAGAAUAAGCACCGGCUAACUCUGUGCCAGCCGCCGCCGUAAAAC